GUGUAGUAGGAAAGGAGAGACACUUAGCACUCCCCUAGACAAUAAUGGCAACACAAAAACCGAUUAAAAAAUAAAAAAUGCAAGAAGCUGUUGAAGCAUGUAAAUUGU